rnacentral:ncRNA from 1 species
UACAUGCAAGUAUCCGCAUUCCAGUGUAGAUGCCCUAGGCACCCCUUUAACCAGGUCGAUAGGAGCGGGUAUCAGGCUCACUCAACACCCAGUAGCCCAAGACGCCUUGCACUUGCCACACCCCCACGGGUACUCAGCAGUAAUUAAUAUUAAGCAAUGAGUGUAAACUUGACUUAGUCAUAGCAAUCUUAAGAGCUGGUAAAUCCUGUGCCAGCCACCGCGGUCAUACAGGAAGCUCAAAUCAACUUUAUUAGCGGCGUAAAGCGUGGUCACAUGCUAUCCAAAUAACUAAGAUAAAAAAGCGACUGAGCCGUAAUAAGCCCAAGACGCCCAUAAAGACCUACUGCCAAAGAAGAUCUUAGCCAAACGAUUAAUUGAAAUCCACGAAAGCCAGGGCCCAAACUGGGAUUAGAUACCCCACUAUGCCUGGCCCUAAAUCUUGAUGCUUCACCCCCUACUUAAGCAUCCGCCUGGGAACUACGAGCACAAACGCUUAAAACUCUAAGGACUUGGCGGUGCCCCAAACCCACCUAGAGGAGCCUGUUCUGUAAUCGAUGAUCCACGAUUUACCUAACCAUUCCUUGCAAGUUCAGCCUAUAUACCGCCGUCGCCAGCUCACCCCCCUGAAGGUCAAACAGUGAGCGCAAUAGUCUAACCCACUAGCAAGACAGGUCAAGGUAUAGCCUAUGGAAUGGAAGCAAUGGGCUACAUUUUCUAGAUUAGAACAUUACGGCAAAGGGAUAUGAAAUUGUCCCUGGAAGGCGGAUUUAGCAGUAAAGUGGGAUAAUCAAGCCCUCUUUAAGCCGGCUCUGGAGCACGUACAUACCGCCCGUCACCCUCCUCAAAGGCGACCCCCACCAAAAAUAAAUUAAUAAACUACUAAGCCAAAGAUGAGG